rnacentral:rRNA from 1 species
GGGUUGUGAGGUUAAGCGACUAAGCGUACACGGUGGAUGCCCUGGCAGUCAGAGGCGAUGAAGGACGUGCUAAUCUGCGAUAAGCGUCGGUAAGGUGAUAUGAACCGUUAUAACCGGCGAUUUCCGAAUGGGGAAACCCAGUGUGAUUCGUCACACUAUCAUUAACUGAAUCCAUAGGUUAAUGAGGCGAACCGGGGGAACUGAAACAUCUAAGUACCCCGAGGAAAAGAAAUCAACCGAGAUUCCCCCAGUAGCGGCGAGCGAACGGGGAGCAGCCCAGAGCCUGAAUCAGUGUGUGUGUUAGUGGAAGCGUCUGGAAAGGCGCGCGAUACAGGGUGACAGCCCCGUACACAAAAAUGCACAUGCUGUGAGCUCGAUGAGUAGGGCGGGACACGUGGUAUCCUGUCUGAAUAUGGGGGGACCAUCCUCCAAGGCUAAAUACUCCUGACUGACCGAUAGUGAACCAGUACCGUGAGGGAAAGGCGAAAAGAACCCCGGCGAGGGGAGUGAAAAAGAACCUGAAACCGUGUACGUACAAGCAGUGGGAGCACGCUUAGGCGUGUGACUGCGUACCUUUUGUAUAAUGGGUCAGCGACUUAUAUUCUGUAGCAAGGUUAACCGAAUAGGGGAGCCGAAGGGAAACCGAGUCUUAACUGGGCGUUAAGUUGCAGGGUAUAGACCCGAAACCCGGUGAUCUAGCCAUGGGCAGGUUGAAGGUUGGGUAACACUAACUGGAGGACCGAACCGACUAAUGUUGAAAAAUUAGCGGAUGACUUGUGGCUGGGGGUGAAAGGCCAAUCAAACCGGGAGAUAGCUGGUUCUCCCCGAAAGCUAUUUAGGUAGCGCCUCGUGAAUUCAUCUCCGGGGGUAGAGCACUGUUUCGGCAAGGGGGUCAUCCCGACUUACCAACCCGAUGCAAACUGCGAAUACCGGAGAAUGUUAUCACGGGAGACACACGGCGGGUGCUAACGUCCGUCGUGAAGAGGGAAACAACCCAGACCGCCAGCUAAGGUCCCAAAGUCAUGGUUAAGUGGGAAACGAUGUGGGAAGGCCCAGACAGCCAGGAUGUUGGCUUAGAAGCAGCCAUCAUUUAAAGAAAGCGUAAUAGCUCACUGGUCGAGUCGGCCUGCGCGGAAGAUGUAACGGGGCUAAACCAUGCACCGAAGCUGCGGCAGCGACGCUGAUGCGUUGUUGGGUAGGGGAGCGUUCUGUAAGCCUGCGAAGGUGUGCUGUGAGGCAUGCUGGAGGUAUCAGAAGUGCGAAUGCUGACAUAAGUAACGAUAAAGCGGGUGAAAAGCCCGCUCGCCGGAAGACCAAGGGUUCCUGUCCAACGUUAAUCGGGGCAGGGUGAGUCGACCCCUAAGGCGAGGCCGAAAGGCGUAGUCGAUGGGAAACAGGUUAAUAUUCCUGUACUUGGUGUUACUGCGAAGGGGGGACGGAGAAGGCUAUGUUGGCCGGGCGACGGUUGUCCCGGUUUAAGCGUGUAGGCUGGUUUUCCAGGCAAAUCCGGAAAAUCAAGGCUGAGGCGUGAUGACGAGGCACUACGGUGCUGAAGCAACAAAUGCCCUGCUUCCAGGAAAAGCCUCUAAGCAUCAGGUAACAUCAAAUCGUACCCCAAACCGACACAGGUGGUCAGGUAGAGAAUACCAAGGCGCUUGAGAGAACUCGGGUGAAGGAACUAGGCAAAAUGGUGCCGUAACUUCGGGAGAAGGCACGCUGAUAUGUAGGUGAAGUCCCUCGCGGAUGGAGCUGAAAUCAGUCGAAGAUACCAGCUGGCUGCAACUGUUUAUUAAAAACACAGCACUGUGCAAACACGAAAGUGGACGUAUACGGUGUGACGCCUGCCCGGUGCCGGAAGGUUAAUUGAUGGGGUCAGCGCAAGCGAAGCUCUUGAUCGAAGCCCCGGUAAACGGCGGCCGUAACUAUAACGGUCCUAAGGUAGCGAAAUUCCUUGUCGGGUAAGUUCCGACCUGCACGAAUGGCGUAAUGAUGGCCAGGCUGUCUCCACCCGAGACUCAGUGAAAUUGAACUCGCUGUGAAGAUGCAGUGUACCCGCGGCAAGACGGAAAGACCCCGUGAACCUUUACUAUAGCUUGACACUGAACAUUGAGCCUUGAUGUGUAGGAUAGGUGGGAGGCUUGGAAGUGUGGACGCCAGUCUGCAUGGAGCCGACCUUGAAAUACCACCCUUUAAUGUUUGAUGUUCUAACGUUGACCCGUAAUCCGGGUUGCGGACAGUGUCUGGUGGGUAGUUUGACUGGGGCGGUCUCCUCCUAAAGAGUAACGGAGGAGCACGAAGGUUGGCUAAUCCUGGUCGGACAUCAGGAGGUUAGUGCAAUGGCAUAAGCCAGCUUGACUGCGAGCGUGACGGCGCGAGCAGGUGCGAAAGCAGGUCAUAGUGAUCCGGUGGUUCUGAAUGGAAGGGCCAUCGCUCAACGGAUAAAAGGUACUCCGGGGAUAACAGGCUGAUACCGCCCAAGAGUUCAUAUCGACGGCGGUGUUUGGCACCUCGAUGUCGGCUCAUCACAUCCUGGGGCUGAAGUAGGUCCCAAGGGUAUGGCUGUUCGCCAUUUAAAGUGGUACGCGAGCUGGGUUUAGAACGUCGUGAGACAGUUCGGUCCCUAUCUGCCGUGGGCGCUGGAGAACUGAGGGGGGCUGCUCCUAGUACGAGAGGACCGGAGUGGACGCAUCACUGGUGUUCGGGUUGUCAUGCCAAUGGCACUGCCCGGUAGCUAAAUGCGGAAGAGAUAAGUGCUGAAAGCAUCUAAGCACGAAACUUGCCCCGAGAUGAGUUCUCCCUGACUCCUUGAGAGUCCUGAAGGAACGUUGAAGACGACGACGUUGAUAGGCCGGGUGUGUAAGCGCAGCGAUGCGUUGAGCUAACCGGUACUAAUGAACCGUGAGGCUUAACCUUACAACGCCGAAGCUGUU